GCCUGUCACUUUAUUUUUCUUACUUCAUUCAAGACAACAUUGUUUAAGUUAUGGGGAGGGAUAAAUUAAUAAAUCAUAAAUCUUUGAAUAUGUUCAUGAUUAUGUACUUGAUUAUCCUUUAGACUUGAGGUUAGUUAUGCAUUUUAAGAAAUAAUUGAUGCACAGUUUAGAAGAUUUUUGAAAUAUCAAGAGAUCAAAUAAUAAGAAACCCA
rnacentral:lncRNA from 1 species